AUUGAACGCUGGCGGCAGGCCUAACACAUGCAAGUCGAACGAGUGGCGGACGGGUGAGUAAUGUCUGGGAAACUGCCCGAUGGAGGGGGAUCACUACUGGAAACGGUAGCUAAUACCGCAUACCAUCGGAUGUGCCCAGAUGGGAUUAGCUAGUAGGUGGGGUAACGGCUCACCUCGGCGAAGCUCCCUAGCUGGUCUGAGAGGAUGACCAGCAACACUGGAACUGAGACACGGUCCAGACUCCUACGGGAGGCAGCAGUGGGGAAUAUUGCACAAGGGGCGCAAGCCUGAUGCAGCCAUGCCGAGUGUAUGAAGAAGGCCUUCGGGUUGUAAAGUACUUUCAGCGGGGAGGCGUUACCCGCAGAAGAAGCACCGGCUAACUCCGUGCCAGCAGCCGCGGUAAUAC
rnacentral:rRNA from 1 species